rnacentral:rRNA from 1 species
GAUUAACGCGAAGAACCUUACCUGGGCUCGAAAUGGAGUGGAAUCCGGUGGAAACAUCGGCGCCCGCAAGGGCCGCUCUAUAGGUGCUGCAUGACUGUCGUCAGCUCGUGUCGUGAGAUGUUGGGUUAAGUCCCGCAACGAGCGCAACCCUUAUCGUUAGUUGCCAUCGGGUCAAGCCGGGCACUCUAGCGAAACCGCCUCGGAUAACGGGGAGGAAGGUGGGGAUGACGUCAAGUCCUCAUGGCCUUUAUGUCCAGGGCUACACACGUGCUACAAUGGACGGUACAAAGGGCUGCGAACUCGCGAGAGGGAGCCAAUCCCAAAAAGCCGUCCUCAGUUCGGAUCGGAGUCUGCAACUCGACUCCGUGAAGGUGGAAUCGCUAGUAAUCGCGGAUCAGCGUGCCGCGGUGAAUACGUUCCCGGGCCUUGUACACACCGAAUCACUAGU